rnacentral:rRNA from 1 species
GAUGAACGCUGGCGGCGUGCCUAAUACAUGCAAGUCGAGCGGACGGACGAGAAUCUUGCUUCUCUGAUGUUAGCGGCGGGCGGGUGAGUAACACGUGGAUAACCUACCUAUAAGACUGGGAUAACUUCGAGAAACCGGAGCUAAUACCGGAUAAUAUUUUGAACCGCAUGGGUCAUAAGAGAAAGACGGUCUUGGUGUCACUUAUAGCUGGAUCCGCGCUGCAUUAGCUAGUUGGUAAGGUAACGGCUUACCAAGGCGACGAGGCAUAGCCGACCUGAGAGGGUGAUCGGCCACACUGGAACUGAGACACGGUCCAGACUCCUACGGGAGGCAGCAGUAGGGAAUCUUCCGCAAUGGGCGAAAGCCUGACGGAGCAACGCCGCGUGAGUGAUGAAGGUCUUCGGAUCGUAAAACUCUGUUAUUAGGGAAGAACAGAUGUGUAAGUAACUGUGCACAUCUUGACGGUACCUAAUCAGAAAGCCACGGCUAACUACGUG